CGCGUANGAGAGUUGAUCGGCCACAUUGGGACUGAGACACGGCCCAAACUCCUACGGAAGGCAGCAG
rnacentral:rRNA from 1 species